AACGAACGCUGGCGGCAGGCCUAACACAUGCAAGUCGAGCGAGGACUUCGGUCCUAGCGGCGGACGGGUGAGUAACGCGUGGGAACGUGCCCUUUGCUUCGGAAUAGCCCUGGGAAACUGGGAGUAAUACCGGAUGAGCCCUUUGGGGGAAAGAUUUAUCGGCGAAGGAUCGGCCCGCGUUGGAUUAGGUAGUUGGUGGGGUAAUGGCCUACCAAGCCGACGAUCCAUAGCUGGUUUGAGAGGAUGAUCAGCCACACUGGGACUGAGACACGGCGCAGACUCCUACGGGAGGCAGCAGUGGGGAAUCUUAGACAAUGGGGGAAACCCUGAUCUAGCCAUGCCGCGUGAGCGAUGAAGGCCUUAGGGUUGUAAAGCUCUUUCAGCUGGGAAGAUAAUGACGGUACCAGCAGAAGAAGCCCCGGCUAACUCCGUG
rnacentral:rRNA from 1 species